UACGUAGGGUGCGAGCGUUAAUCGGAAUUACUGGGCGUAAAGGGUGCGCAGGCGGCGUCGCAAGUCAGGCGUGAAAUCCCCGGGCUUAACCUGGGAACUGCACUUGAAACUACGAUGCUGGAGUAUGGCAGAGGGAGGUGGAAUUCCACGUGUAGCGGUGAAAUGCGUAGAGAUGUGGAGGAACACCGAUGGCGAAGGCAGCCUCCUGGGCCAAUACUGACGCUCAUGCACGAAAGCGUGGAGAGCAAACAGG
rnacentral:rRNA from 1 species